CUAGCGCCAUUCUUAGUGCCCGUAAGGCCCGUCCUUAGAUAUAUGUCAAUGUUGAAAUUAUAUAAGUAACUAUAACUUUUACAAUAAUAUUAAACUGCCAAUAGACGGGAUAGUUAAAUAGUGAUCUAGAUUAUCUGUUUUUAAAUAUGAUGUUUAUGUCCACGCAAAUAUCUGUUAAAUUUUCACUACAUACUACAUAUAUCAAGCUUAUGGUUUUGCGAUAACGCGUGGUUGAGACGCUUGUAAUAGUCUGAGAGCUAGCCCCGAAAAAAUGCAUAGGUACUGUGUCUAUAAGUAUGAUAUUAUAUAAGACUGCAUGGUUAGUAUUUGUAAGAUAUUUACAGUAAUUAAAAUUGUGAUACUAACAACACUAUGAUAUAUUGAACAGAAAAUAUGAUUGCCUCUCUAAAUGUAACUCGCUAAAUUACAGUUCCCUUCACAUAUUUCCCGUAAACUUUGGCUUAACAAAACUGUAUUUACUUAUUUUUUAUUGUACAAUAAUAUAAUAAUUAACUAAUCAUUUGAUUUAGAAAAAAUAACUGAUUAGCCGGGUCCACACAGCGAGCAUACGCGCGAGGCAAUUUCCUCACGCACAAUACGGCCGGUGUAGACGUGCCUCGGGCCGUAUUGUGCGUGAGGAAAUUGCCUCGCGCGUAUGCUCGUUCUGUGUGGACCCGGCUAUUUUCGUGACAGAAAGUUCUUAUGUACUUACUUACUUAUACAGGGUGAUUCAGGAUACGUGAGCAGGAUCAAGCUUGAGCAUUCAGUAAGUUAUAAGCAACUGUUUCAUACCAGUAUUUGUGAGAUUAACGUUGUUUUAUUUUUUACUGUUCAAAAAAAAUGUUUUAAUUUAUUUACGCCAUGUAUGGUCACCCUCUUUGUUUUAUCCAUAACAAGUGACAAAUUGAAUGUCAUCGUAGUCUGGUUACUUUUGAAAAAUCGUAUCUCACUCAAGUGUGACAUUUUGUUUUCUUCAUAACUGCUGUCAUAACGGUUAAAGAGGUUUUAUCUUUCUUAAUUAAGUGUUGUACCUCGUAUAUCCCGAAAACCGUGGUUCUAUCGAUUCCGUACGUCUCCGAAAUGGGUAAUAUCCACCAUCUGUCGUUUACGUUUGGGCAAAGUAUGUACUCCGUUAUUUCUGGCUAUGAUAGGUGUUCGUGCGAACUCAUUGUGUGAUUGUGGGCUUGAUGAGGGCAACUUGGACCACAUUUUCUUUGCAUGCUCAAAGUGUAGCUACUCACUGUACGAUGUAUUGCCCGAUAAUGUUCCACGACCUAUAUGCUUCAGCUCGCUACUUUGUUACAUGGAUCCUAUUCUAACUUCUAUCCUAAUUAAAUAUUUACAAGCAAAUAACAUUAAACUAUAAAUAAAGUAUUAUCUUUUCAGACCUAAUUAUAUAUCUUUAAUUUUAUACACACUCUACAUUAUACAUUUAUAUGGUUUUCUUCUCUCUCACUUCCUUCAUGUUGGCACUAUUAACGUUCUGUCAUCCGCUUCCCGCUUAUUUGCUAACAAUUGUAUACGUCAUGUGUUCGUUUGUGAUGUCCAUAACAAUUAUUUGUUUUUUAGGUUCUCCCUACCACAUCCUUCCACAAGCUCAAAAUAUUACCGAACAUUCUCCUCUCGUGUGAAAGUCAACACCGACAUUGGCGAAUUCACCCUGUGCAAAUUGGCAGGGAGUAAAAGCCAGAAGAAAAAAAAAAAAAAAAAAAAAAAAUUAAGUGUUGUAGGGUGUCCAUGAUUGUAGAUUAUCAAAUUUGUCCUUCCCAAAAAGUUAAAUAACAGAAAUAAAGCGAGAUUGUUUUACUUAAAUAUGAUGAUGAACGGUUCAUUAACAUUUACUGAUUGUGUAUGCUUAGUCCUGCUCACGUCUCAUGAAUCACCCUGUAUAUCCUAAUCCGAAAUGUAUGUAAGUAAUUUCUACAUGAAGUUAUUGCCUAUAAAUGUAGAAAGUAUGCGAAAUCGCCGUAGCUAAUCUAAGCAAGUUUGCUCGCAAUAUAAAAUUGGUAUAGUUGCACUACACCUAGAAAUUUGUAUAAACUAUAAGUCUGUAUCUUUAGGUAUUUUAAAGAAUGUAAACAAACCAGAAUUUGGUAUUUUAUUGGGCAAGGAAAUCUUCAAGUAAAUUAAUUCAAUGUGCCUAGAGAUGGGUAGGAGUGAGUAAAUACUGAGUAUUUAUCAGUAUUUACUGAGUAUUUACUCAAAGUACUCGAUAAAUACUCGUAUUUACUCAUUUAGGUGAGUAAAAACGAUUGCUAAUAAAAUAUUUAAAAAAGUAAGAUUUAAGAACUUGUUUUUUAUUGAACAGUGUUUUAUUAAGGCUUUUUUAAUGAAAACUCAAAAAUGGCUCAACCGGUCAUGUUCAAAGUAUUUUUUUGUUAGUACUCAUACUAUUUUUCGUUAAUCUAUCUACGGCUAAUCUCCGGAUAUUUUAUUGAACUUUGAUUUGAAAGUUAAAGAGGGAUAAACAUUUUUUCGGCCUUUAGAAACGGGUUUCUUCCAAAAGUAUUCAAUCUAUUUACUCACUACCCAUCUCUAGUUGUUCCAAAACUUACAGAGUUUUACUAUGAUAUAUUACUUACUCAACAUAACAACGAAGCUGAUGUAAUCGCGCUAUUUUGUUAAUAGAAAUAUAUCGGGAUGAUUUGAUUAAUCAAUAGUAAUUUAGUUUUGUAAUAUUUGCUAGUACUUCGCCCUAGUAAAGAACCUAAAACGAGAUUGAAUAAUUACCCUUAAUUAGCCGAGGAACAGAUCUAGGCAGUUUUCUUUGUUUUUUUUUUAAUGAUAUAUUCUGAUGGUAAGCGAUUACCGCCGCCCAUUGACACCUGCAAUACCAGAGGGGUUGUAAGUGCGUUGCCGGUCCUUAAGAUGGGAGUACGCUCUUUUCUGGAAGUUUUGAAGGUCGUAUCGGUCCGGAAAUACCGCAGGCGCCAGUUCAUUCCACAGUUUAGCUGAGCGAGGCAGGAAGUUUCUGGAGAAACGCACAGUUGAGGACUGCCAACCAUCUAAGUGGUGAGGAUGGAAAUGUUGUCGCGUAAGGCGAUGGCGAAAAGAAGCGGCAGGGAUUAAUCGAACAAUCCUCGGAGCACUCCCCGUUAUACAUGCGAUAGAAAAUGCAGAGCGAGGCCACAUCUCUACGCAGCGCCAAGGAGUCAAGCCGAUCCGAAACACGCUGGCAGUCCACAAUUCAAUUCGCUCUUAGUUGGAUGCAGUCCAGAGGUAGAAGCUGGUACUGGGGUGCCCCUGCCCAUAGAUGAGAACAGUAUUCCAUGUGCUAUUUGGUUGGUUACUUAACAAAAAAAAAGUUUCAAGUACUCGAAAAUAUAACAACACAUUGUUUAUAUUUAUUUAGCUACCUAAAGAUACAGACUUAAUAUCAGCCAUUGUAAAUUGUUUCUGAAUUCUAUAUCUGUCUUCUCGGUAUGUUAUUAAAAGAAUAUAAAUAAACAAAACCACUCUGUCAAAAUGUUAAUAAUAUUGCCUGAAUAUUUCGAGGUUUUGUUUACUUCUAAAAACCUACCUAAAUGAACAGGUGGUCGAGAUUAAGUAGAAUUUGUUUUUAUAAACAUUAAAUAUAAACCUAAGCUUUUGUUUAAUAUUGUAUUUUUGUUACCUGUAAAUAUAAUAGUCCACAUAGAAGCAGCUGCCUCGAGAGGAAAUUGUCACGCAAAGCGUAUCGGUCUGUGAAGAAGUAAGCCCUUUACCGACUUGAGCGGGCGCACGGUGCGGGUGAGCGAAUCAACGAAAAAUAGUAUAAGCAACGCUAACUGGCGACGGAUUUUACCUACCGCGCAAGUCGGCGAAGGGCCGUACCGUGCCUCGCUCGUGGGAAACUCACGCACGGAAAUUUCCUCGAUAUGCGUCUCAUCCUGUUGAAUUUACUUAAUCUCAUUCCCAGGCUCUUAACGCAAAACGCCUGUAUGAUAGCGAUGUUGCAAUUAUGAGGCCCAGUCUGAAUAUCCUUAUUGAUAGAUAUCAAAGUGAUAGUUUUACCAAUAACAUUUACUUUUUAUAUCCAAACAAUUUGGUUUGGCGAAAUUACUAAACUCAUAUAACAUGUUUUCCUUCUUUUGGUUCAGAAUUGCGUGGUUAAAAUCUUUCGGGUUCCUCGUACAGCACAGACGGGGUUUUUUGUUUGUUGUAUACGAACACAAGAUUAGUGAGGAAUAACAGUAAAAUAAAAAUCGAAAUGAUUCUAAGUAAAUGUUUAUUCAUUCAUCUAUUCUAAAUACAAAGCGGACGUGGUCCGCGAAUCGUCACAGAAAGUUGACAAAAUAUACUAAAAUCACUCGCAAAGUGACCAACGAAACGUAUACACAUACAAUUAAAUUUAAUAUCAAUACUAGACGAAGUAAAUGAGCAUAACAUUGAGCAAUACAUCUCUGUAUUGUCGUUAUUACAACGAAAACUGGAGGGAUCCAAGGAGUAAAGUAAUUUGUUUAAAGCUUAAUAGUUAAAUAUUGCCACGAAAUAACUUAGUUACAGCCACGGCCAAUAGCUGCUCCUGCUAAACCUAUCUUUAAACAUGUGGUACCUAUAGUAUACUACAGCAAUUUAAACUAAAUUUUCGUCCACCUGAUAAACAAAACUGCGCUGUCACCGACAAAAGUAAUACAGAAUAAACUACCUCGCGAGGAAUUGCCACGCGAAGCAUAUCAGUUGUUCAUUAAAACAAGUGUUCAGACGAUAUAUACAAAGAUCCAUAGCACACAAACAAUUGAAAUGAGUUAACAACGAUUACAGAUUUAAUGUGGUAACCAUUUCUUCACCGUAACGUUUACGUAAUUUAUUGUUAUUGAGCUUUUGCGACAUCUGUUUUUAUAUGUUGUACACAUUUCACUUUUAUUCACAAUUUAAUAACCACACAAUUUACUUGUGGAAAUUAUAAACGGUUUAGUUCAGAUAUCAUAAUGAUUAAAAUUAAAAUUCUGAGAGUAAUUACAAUGUCAGUGACACGCGUAAGAAACAAUAUAAUGUUCCUCUCAAUAUAGAUGCACUAUGAACAAAUAAAUAAUAGAGGAACGUAUAUUAGGUACCUUGAAACGCAACGUUACGAGUAUUUAAGAAGGCACGGACGAUACCCGCUGAGAACUAGGUCACAUGUGUAACCGGUGAAUAUUACAUAUUCUUGCUGUAGAAUUUAGUUGUUCCCUAAAUACAUAGCAUUGCCAGGAGCGAAAUCAUAACAGGUAUUUCUUCAAACAUUCGGUAAGGACCUUUAGCAACAAAAAAGUAAUUUGGUUGUAAUUACACAAAAACUGCUUAAUUAUAGUAUUUUGAGAGUUUUGCGUUUUGCAAUGCGUGUAUUUAGAACUGAAGGAAAGUUUUAUACAAUUCAUAUAUUUGAAUUUUUAAAGUGAAGUGUAAUAAAUAAUUUAUCCGUUAUCACUUCAUUGGAGAAUAUGAAAAUAUUUUGUAUUCUGAUUACAAUCAACCCUCAAAGGAGUUCAAUAAGUUAAAUGCAAUAUUAUGCUUAGAUCUAUAUUAGCAAAAAUACCCAAGGAAUAAAACUUUACAUCUAUAAGGAACAAUAACAUUAAAUGCUUUUUCUGGCCAUUGCUUGUAAUAAUCUUUAGAUAGCAACAUUUACGUCGAACAAGAAAUAUUGUUGGUGAUGUUGCUAGGUAGUAUGCAUAUGAUAUUUUGUGAAAUAUUUAAGGAAACAAUGGCCGAAAAGAAUAUAUUUCAAAAGUGCAUAAAAUAUUUCAUUAAAGUUAACAUUCUACAAUGAGCUGGCACUUGCGUCGAACGAUCAGAAAAAUAGAACAUUAUAUAUUAUUGUCAUGAUGUUCUCGGGUCGGAACAUCUAGCCGCGGGGCUUGAGACCAACUACUAGAGAUAACUUAUUCAUUAGGUACAACGGUAAUUUUAAUUAGAAUCAUUGUCAUAAAGUACCGUUAGUUGAUUGAAAAUACUUGUAACAUUGGUGCUGAAUUUCACAAGAAAUAAAUAUUAUUAUAUUAAUAUGAUGUAAUACAAUACAAUGCUGUAGUUUCAAGUAUCAAGUUGCGCGAUGUGACUUCUCGCGUCUUUUUCGCACAGUACGAACUGGAAAGGCGUAGGUCUUACUUGCGCGCAACUCGACUCAAGUAAAUUGAUAAGUAAAUAAAUUAGUACAGCAAAUAAUAUGGAUAAUAAUAUAUAAUAACACCAGGGAAUCCGCAGACAAUCGAAAACAGGUAUAUUUCAAGCCCUGCCUAGCUGCCGACGAACCAAACUCUUCUU